rnacentral:rRNA from 1 species
GACGAACGCUGGCGGCGUGCUUAACACAUGCAAGUCGAGCGGUAAGGCCCCUUCGGGGGUACACGAGCGGCGAACGGGUGAGUAACACGUGAGCAAUCUGCCCUUCACACGGGGAUAACUCCGGGAAACCGAAGCUAAUACCCGAUACGACCACUGGCCGCAUGGCCUGGUGGUGGAAAGUUCCGGCGGGGAAGGAUGAGCUCGCGGCCUAUCAGCUUGUUGGUGGGGUAGUGGCCUACCAAGGCAACGACGGGUAGCCGGCCUGAGAGGGUGACCGGCCACACUGGGACUGAGACACGGCCCAGACUCCUACGGGAGGCAGCAGUGGGGAAUAUUGGACAAUGGGCGAAAGCCUGAUCCAGCAACGCCGCGUGAGGGAUGACGGCCUUCGGGUUGUAAACCUCUUUCAGCAGGGACGAAGCGCAAGUGACGGUACCUGCAGAAGAAGCACCGGCCAGCUACGUGCCAGCCGCCGCGGUAAGAC